rnacentral:siRNA from 1 species
AUGGUGAUGUUCAGCGAAUUUCGA